GAAUCUGCCCUCAGGAGGGGGAUAACGGUUGGAAACGACCGCUAAUACCCCAUAUGCCGAGAGGUGAAAUGAAUUUCGCCUGAGGAUGAGCCCGCGUCUGAUUAGCUUGUUGGUGAGGUAAUGGUUCACCAAGGCUUCGAUCAGUAGCUGGUCUGAGAGGAUGAUCAGCCACACUGGGACUGAGACACGGCCCAGACUCCUACGGGAGGCAGCAGUGGGGAAUUUUCCGCAAUGGGCGAAAGCCUGACGGAGCAACGCCGCGUGAGGGACGAAGGCCUCUGGGCUGUAAACCUCUUUUAUCAAGGAAGAAGAUCUGACGGUACUUGAUGAAUAAGCCACGGCUAAUUCCGUGCCAGCAGCCGCGGUAAUACGGGAGUGGCAAGCGUUAUCCGGAAUUAUUGGGCGUAAAGCGUCCGCAGGCGGCCCUUCAAGUCUGCUGUUAAAAAGUGGAGCUUAACUCCAUCAUGGCAGUGGAAACUGUUGGGCUUGAGUGUGGUAGGGGCAGAGGGAAUUCCCGGUGUAGCGGUGAAAUGCGUAGAUAUCGGGAAGAACACCAGUGGCGAAGGCGCUCUGCUGGGCCAUCACUGACGCUCAUGGACGAAAGCCAGGGGAGCGAAAGGGAUUAGAUACCCCUGCAGUCCUGGCCGUAAACGAUGAACACUAGGUGUCGGGGGAAUCGACCCCCUCGGUGUCGUAGCCAACGCGUUAAGUGUUCCGCCUGGGGAGUACGCACGCAAGUGUGAAACUCAAAGGAAUUGACGGGGGCCCGCACAAGCGGUGGAGUAUGUGGUUUAAUUCGAUGCAACGCGAAGAACCUUACCAGGGUUUGACAUCCUGCGAAUCUCUUGGAAACAGGAGAGUGCCUUCGGGAACGCAGUGACAGGUGGUGCAUGGCUGUCGUCAGCUCGUGUCGUGAGAUGUUGGGUUAAGUCCCGCAACGAGCGCAACCCACGUCUUUAGUUGCCAGCAUUUAGUUGGGCACUCUAGAGAGACUGCCGGUGAUAAACCGGAGGAAGGUGUGGAUGACGUCAAGUCAUCAUGCCCCUUACAUCCUGGGCUACACACGUACUACAAUGCUACGGACAAAGGGCAGCAAGUUCGCGAGGACAAGCAAAUCCCAUAAACCGUGGCUCAGUUCGGAUCGUAG
rnacentral:rRNA from 1 species